AGAGUUUGAUCCUGGCUCAUAACGAACGCUGGCGGCAGGCCUAACACAUGCAAGUCGAGCGCUACCUUCGGGUGGAGCGGCGGACGGGUUAGUAACGCGUGGGAAUAUACCCUUCACUAUGGAAUAGCCUCGGGAAACUGAGAGUAAUACCAUAUACGCCCUUCGGGGGAAAGAUUUAUCGGUGAAGGAUUAGCCCGCGUAAGAUUAGAUAGUUGGUGGGGUAAUGGCCUACCAAGUCUACGAUCUUUAGCUGGUUUUAGAGGAUGAUCAGCAACACUGGGACUGAGACACGGCCCAGACUCCUACGGGAGGCAGCAGUGGGGAAUCUUAGACAAUGGGCGAAAGCCUGAUCUAGCCAUGCCGCGUGAGUGAUGAAGGUCUUAGGAUCGUAAAGCUCUUUCGCUAGGGAUGAUAAUGACGGUACCUAGUAAAGAAGCCCCGGCUAACUCCGUGCCAGCAGCCGCGGUAAUACGGAGGGGGCUAGCGUUGUUCGGAGUUACUGGGCGUAAAGCGUACGUAGGCGGAUCAGAAAGUAUGGGGUGAAAUCCCAGGGCUUAACCCUGGAACUGCCUCAUAAACUCCUGGUCUUGAGUUCGAGAGAGGUGAGUGGAAUUCCAAGUGUAGAGGUGAAAUUCGUAGAUAUUUGGAGGAACACCAGUGGCGAAGGCGGCUCACUGGCUCGAUACUGACGCUGAGGUACGAAAGUGUGGGGAGCAAACAGGAUUAGAUACCCUGGUAGUCCACACCGUAAACGAUGAAUGCCAGUCGUCGGGCAGUAUACUGUUCGGUGACACACCUAACGGAUUAAGCAUUCCGCCUGGGGAGUACGGUCGC
rnacentral:rRNA from 1 species